rnacentral:tRNA from 1 species
GCCGGAGUAGACCAACUGGCAGGAGUCGCCAGUUUCAGAAACUGGAGAGUGUGGGUUCGAAUCCCACCUCCGGCA